CAUUUUCACCACAUUGAAAAAGGAGGCAACCUACAAUCCGGAUGUAAUAUCAACUUUAACGAAAUACAUGUUAAUACACACACCAGGUGGCGAGGACGCCUUGCCACAAUUUCCUUCCCGGUUGUGUUUCACUGAAUUUGUCAAAUUUGGAAAGACACUGGUUCCAUCCCCGGGAACAAAGCCAAACACAAUGGCGUGGUUUUGACCACGGUGUUGUUUUCUCGAUCACUCGAACACUCACUGCUGCCGAGUGUCACUGCAGCACUGCAGCUGCCUGUGCCGUGUUCCCCUCUACUCCCUGUAGCCAGGUCGGCAAUCCAGACAGAUGUCAGGAAGGAUGGUACGGUUCCCAUUGCCAGAGACGAAAUAUUGCCUUAGGACGAAGUGCCACACAGAGUACUUCUUACAUUGAAAACAGCGUGAGGACAGGGAAUACAGAACACCGAUACGACGCCAGGUACGGCGUGGAUGGCAGAGCUGCCACCGACUUCUAUAGUA